ensembl:snRNA U6 U6 spliceosomal RNA
GUGCUUGCUUUGGCAGCACGUAUACUAAAAUUGGGACGAUACAGAGAAGAUUAGCACGGCCCUUGUUCAAGGAUGACAUGUAAAUUCGUAAAGUGUUCAAAAAAAAA